UACGAAGGGGGCGAGCGUUGUUCGGAUUUACUGGGCGUAAAGGGCGCGCAGGCGGUUCUGUUUGUCGAGUGUGAAAGCCCCGGGCUCAACCUGGGAACUGCGCUCGAAACGGCGGAACUAGAGUUCGGGGGAGGAGAGUGGAAUUCCCAGUGUAGAGGUGAAAUUCGUAGAUAUUGGGAAGAACACCGGUGGCGAAGGCGGCUCUCUGGACCGAUACUGACGCUGAGGCACGAAAGCGUGGGGAGCAAACAGG
rnacentral:rRNA from 1 species